UGUAACGGGGCUAAACCAUGCACCGAAGCUGCGGCAGCGACGUUUAUGCGUUGUUGGGUAGGGGAGCGUUCUGUAAGCCUGCGAAGGUGGCCUGUGAGGGUUGCUGGAGGUAUCAGAAGUGCGAAUGCUGACAUAAGUAACGAUAAAGCGGGUGAAAAGCCCGCUCGCCGGAAGACCAAGGGUUCCUGUCCAACGUUAAUCGGGGCAGGGUGAGUCGACCCCUAAGGCGAGGCCGAAAGGCGUAGUCGAUGGGAAACGGGUUAAUAUUCCCGUACUUGGUGUUACUGCGAAGGGGGGACGGAGAAGGCUAUGUUGGCCGGGCGACGGUU
rnacentral:rRNA from 1 species